GAAGUUACUUCCGCAAUCACAUGAUGCGGAAGUUUAAAGUGGCUGACGAGACGCUGAUCAUAACGUUUGUUAAAGCAUUUCUAAUAUCGCACAUUAUCAGAGGGGCAUGUUGGUCCACGCUGAUGUGAUGACAUCGUGCAGUUUCUGCAGUUCGGAUGGCGGGACACUACCGCCACCAGCCUGUACCGUUGACACCAGGUUGGAUGGGUCCCUGGACUCAUGCUGCUUAUGCCAAAUCUUGACUCUGCCAUCAGCAUGACGCAACAGGAACGGGGAUUCCUUGGACCAGGCAAUGUUUUCCCACUCCUCAAUUGUGCAGUAAUAGUGAACGUGUGCCUUUCUCUUCUUUUUAGCUGAUAGGAGUUUAACCCGGUGUGGUCGUCUGCUAUAAUAGCCCAUCCGUGACAAGUAUCAACAAGUUGUCUGUUCCGAGAUCUCAUUCUGCACACCGCUGUUGUAUUGCGUUGUUAUCUGUCUGGUUGUGGCCCACCUGUUAGCUUGCGUGAUUCUGGCCAUUCUCCUUCGACCUCUCUCAUCAACGAGCUGUUUUCGCCCACAGGACUGCCACUGACUGGAUGUUUUUUUGUUUGUCGCACCAUUCUGGGGAAACCCUAGACACUGUCGUGAGUGAAAAGCCCAGGAGUUCGGCCAUUUCGGAGAUACUGGAAUCGCCGAUCAUACCACGCUCAAAGUCGCUUAGGUCAUUAGUUUUGCCCAACGUUCAAUCGAACAGUAACUGAAUGCCUCAAUGUCUGUCUGCCUGCUUUAUAUAGCAAGCUAUAGCCACGUGACUCACUGUAUAGUAGGAGCGAUCCAUUUUGUGAACAGGGUGGUGUACCUAAUAAACUAACCAGUGAGUGUAUAUAUUCAUGAAAAUAAUGUCAGGUCACAACUCGCUGCUCUUAAAGCUGGAAUCUGCAGUUGAAACAAUAACAAAGUGGACACCCCACCUCUGUUUAGGUAAAAGCUUAGGGAUGGGCCAAGAGAAAAUGUCUCUAUGGCCAUCCCUAAGCUUUUUACCAAAACAUUUUGUUAUUGUGGGGUGUAACCACUCUCAAACUCAUAGACAGAGCUAUGGAUGCAAAGACUGACCAUACAUGAUAUCAAAAUGAUAGCUUUAACCAUGUUGAGGCUUGUUUAUAUUGUUUACAAAGUUUGGAGUAAAACAGGCUUAUAUUUGGGGUUCUAAUGGGCUACAACAGUUGAACUAAGCUCAUGAGAGCCUUCAGAAAGUAUUCACACCCCUAUUAGUUUUUCCACAUUUUGCCUGAAUUUAAAAUGGAUUAAAUUUAGAUUUUGUGUCACUGAUCUACACAAAAUAAUGUCAACAUGUUGUUCGAAAUGCUUUUUUGAAAUGAAUAAAAAAUGAAUAG